AGAAGUAUGGUGCAUUGGAAUAGAGCCAACUUUGAAGAAAGAAGGGUCACUUCCAAGGAAGGAGACACAGACUUGACAAUUCACCGUCUCUGCC
rnacentral:lncRNA from 1 species